rnacentral:lncRNA from 10 species
CUGGACUCCGCGGAUUCCUUUGGGGCUGGAGGGCCGCACACGUGUUUUACUCCAACUGUUUGCAACUUUUGAAACCCGGGCAAUCUGGCUUUGGCAUUUGAAAACCAUUUCAAACAGGAGAGAUUCCAAGAAAUGAGGGGGGUACGUUGAAACGAUGAAGAAAGGAUGGACACAGCAGUCGAGGUUGAGAGGUAGGCUCAGGGGUCCACCCUUGUGUGACCUUGAGCAAGCUUGGUGACCUCCGCGCCUCCGUUUCUCGCUGAUCAAAUAAGUAGAACAAGACCUCACAGGGUUCUUGGAAGUAUUACGUGGGAAAACACUUAUAAAGUGGCAAAUAAUAAAAACUCAUUAUAUUCUUAAUAGUAGUAUUACUAUUUGGGAAGAAAAUUGGGAAAUCAUUUGGGGAUUCAAGUUAGUAAGUAUGAUAAUUUAUCCUCUC